AGCGAACGCUGGCGGCAGGCUUAACACAUGCAAGUCGAGCGGGCACUUUCGGGUGUCCGCGGCGGACGGGUGAGUAACGCGUGGGAACGUGCCCUCUGGUUCGGAAUAACUCAGGGAAACUUGGGCUAAUACCGGAUACGCCCUUUUGGGGAAAGGCUUGCUGCCGGAGGAUCGGCCCGCGUCUGAUUAGCUAGUUGGUGAGGUAACGGCUCACCAAGGCGACGAUCAGUAGCUGGUCUGAGAGGAUGAUCAGCCACACUGGGACUGAGACACGGCCCAGACUCCUACGGGAGGCAGCAGUGGGGAAUAUUGGACAAUGGGCGCAAGCCUGAUCCAGCCAUGCCGCGUGAGUGAUGAAGGCCUUAGGGUUGUAAAGCUCUUUUAUCCGGGACGAUAAUGACGGUACCGGAGGAAUAAGCCCCGGCUAACUUCGUG
rnacentral:rRNA from 1 species